ensembl:lncRNA
AGGGAAUCAGAUUUCAUUUGACUUUCAGAGAGAAACAAACCGUGGGAUCGGAUGUUUUGACAGUUCAAACAGUACAGUCGUAGUUACCAAGAUGAACUUAAUCGUCCACAGCACAAAUUAGUUCAUUCGCAUCCAGGAACACACACAAAGAUUAAAAAGAAUCAGGAAUCUUUAUUAGUGUAAACCCUGAUGCCUCACAUCUCAACUCGGUUGAACUGCUGAAAAGUUCUCAGACUGGGGGGGGCACCUCUUCGUCGCCAGCAGGGAAGAUGCACACUGAAGGCCUUUCUGCAAUGGCCCCUCUUUGCAAAGGGAGAGAGAGUCUUGCUCUCGGGCUGUUUUCAGUGCAUGACUGAUUCGUGUCCUCAAAGGAGGACAGUUUAUUUUAGCACAGAUUAUAUAAAGGUGUUGGAUAAAAAGGUCAGGUAUCCCUCGUGCUGGAAUCAAGAAAAUCCAAAGCUGACUUGAGGGCAGGAAAAGGAC